rnacentral:rRNA from 1 species
CCUACGGGUGGCAGCAGUGGGGGAUAUUGCACAAUGGGGGAAACCCUGAUGCAGCGACGCCGCGUGGGCGAAGAAGUAUUUCGGUAUGUAAAGCCCUAUCAGCAGGGAAGAAGAAAUGACGGUACCUGAGUAAGAAGCACCGGCUAAAUACGUGCCAGCAGCCGCGGUAAUACGUAGGGGGCAAGCGUUAUCCGGAUUUACUGGGUGUAAAGGGAGCGUAGGUGGCAUGGCAAGCCAGAAGUGAAAACCCGGGGCUUAACCCCGCGGAUUGCUUUUGGAACUGUCAGGCUGGAGUGCAGGAGGGGCAGGCGGAAUUCCUGGGGUAGCGGUGAAAUGCGUAGAUAUCAGGAGGAACACCGGUGGCGAAGGCGGCCUGCUGGACUGUAACUGACACUGAGGCUCGAAAGCGUGGGGAGCAAACAGGAUUAGAUACCCCAGUAGUC